GAUGAACGCUGGCGGCGUGCCUAAUACAUGCAAGUCGAGCGAACAGACGAGGAGCUUGCUCCUCUGACGUUAGCGGCGGACGGGUGAGUAACACGUGGAUAACCUACCUAUAAGACUGGGAUAACUUCGGGAAACCGGAGCUAAUACCGGAUAAUAUAUUGAACCGCAUGGUUCAAUAGUGAAAGACGGUUUUGCUGUCACUUAUAGAUGGAUCCGCGCCGCAUUAGCUAGUUGGUAAGGUAACGGCUUACCAAGGCAACGAUGCGUAGCCGACCUGAGAGGGUGAUCGGCCACACUGGGACUGGAACACGGUCCAGACUCCUACGGGAGGCAGCAGUAGGGAAUCUUCCGCGAUGGGCGGAAGCCUGACGAAGCAACGCCGCGUGAGUGAUGAAGGUCUUCGGAUCGUAAAACUCUGUUAUUAGGGAAGAACAAAUGUGUAAGUAACUAUGCACGUCUUGACGGUACCUAAUCAGAAAGCCACGGCUAACUACGUG
rnacentral:rRNA from 1 species